UCCAAGCCUUGGCACUGCACCCACCCUUUGUGAAUGUUGGGCAAUGGGUGAUGGGUGUGGUGUCUGCAGGCAACAGGGGA
rnacentral:miRNA from 1 species